AUACGUAGGUGGCAAGCGUUGUCCGGAUUUACUGGGCGUAAAGGAUGCGUAGGCGGAUGUUUAAGUCAGAUGUGAAAAUCCCAAGCUUAACUUGGGAACUGCAUUUGAAACUGGAUAUCUAGAGUGCGGGAGAGGAGAAUGGAAUUCCUAGUGUAGCGGUGAAAUGCGUAGAGAUUAGGAAGAACACCAGUGGCGAAGGCGAUUCUCUGGACCGUAACUGACGCUGAGGCAUGAAAGCGUGGGUAGC
rnacentral:rRNA from 1 species